AAUAAUACCCAGGUAGUCCACCCCGUAAACGUUGGGAACUAGUUGUGGGGUCCUUUCCACGGAUUCCGUGACGCAGCUAACGCAUUAAGUUCCCCGCCUGGGGAGUACGGCCGCAAGGCUAAAACUCAAAGGAAUUGACGGGGACCCGCACAAGCGGCGGAGCAUGCGGAUUAAUUCGAUGCAACGCGAAGAACCUUACCAAGGCUUGACAUACACCGGAAACGGCCAGAGAUGGUCGCCCCGCAAGGUCGGUGUACAGGUGGUGCAUGGUUGUCGUCAGCUCGUGUCGUGAGAUGUUGGGUUAAGUCCCGCAACGAGCGCAACCCUCGUUCUAUGUUGCCAGCACGUAAUGGUGGGAACUCAUGGGAUACUGCCGGGGUCAACUCGGAGGAAGGUGGGGAUGACGUCAAAUCAUCAUGCCCCUUAUGUCUUGGGCUUCACGCAUGCUACAAUGGCCGGUACAAAGGGCUGCAAUACCGUGAGGUGGAGCGAAUCCCAAAAGCCGGUCCCAGUUCGGAUUGAGGUCUGCAACUCGACCUCA
rnacentral:rRNA from 1 species